AUUGAACGCUGGCGGCAGGCCUAACACAUGCAAGUCGAGCGAGCGGCGGACGGGAGAGUAAUGCCUGGGAAUUGCCCAGUCGAGGGAGAUAACAGUUGGAAACGACCGCUAAUACCGCAUCAGAAGGGAUUGCCCAGGUGGGAUUCGCUGGUUGGUGGGGUAAUGGCUCCCCAAGGAGACGAUCCCUAGCUGGUCUGAGAGGAUGAGCAGCCACACGGGAACUGAGACACGGUCCAGACUCCUACGGGAGGCAGCAGUGGGGAAUAUUGCACAAUGGGGGAAACCCUGAUGCAGCCAUGCCGCGUGUGUGAAGAAGGCCUUCGGGUUGUAAAGCACUUUCAGCGAGGAGGCGUUACUCGCAGAAGAAGCACCGGCUAACUCCGUGCCAGCAGCCGCGGUAAUAC
rnacentral:rRNA from 1 species